CUACGGGCUGCUCCAGUGGGGAAUAUUGGACAAUGGGGGCAACCCUGAUCCAGCCAUGCCGCGUGUGUGAAGAAGGCCCUUUGGUUGUAAAGCACUUUAAGCGAGGAGGAGGCUACUGGUACUAAUAUUACCAGCUAGUGGACGUUACUCGCAGAAUAAGCACCGGCUAACUCUGUGCCAGCAGCCGCGGUAAUACAGAGGGUGCGAGCGUUAAUCGGAAUUACUGGGCGUAAAGCGCGCGUAGGCGGUUUGUUAAGUCGGAUGUGAAAUCCCCGGGCUCAACCUGGGAAUUGCAUUCGAUACUGGCAAGCUAGAGUAUGGGAGAGGAAGGUAGAAUUCCAGGUGUAGCGGUGAAAUGCGUAGAGAUCUGGAGGAAUACCGAUGGCGAAGGCAGCCUUCUGGCCUAAUACUGACGCUGAGGUGCGAAAGCAUGGGGAGCAAACAGGAUUAGAUACCCCCGUAGUC
rnacentral:rRNA from 1 species